rnacentral:rRNA from 2 species
GAUGAACGCUGGCGGCGUGCCUAAUACAUGCAAGUCGAACGAGUUCUGAUUAUUGAAAGGUGCUUGCAUCUUGAUUUAAUUUUGAACGAGUGGCGGACGGGUGAGUAACACGUGGGUAACCUGCCCUUAAGUGGGGGAUAACAUUUGGAAACAGAUGCUAAUACCGCAUAAAUCCAAAAACCGCAUGGUUCUUGGCUGAAAGAUGGCGUAAGCUAUCGCUUUUGGAUGGACCCGCGGCGUAUUAGCUAGUUGGUGAGGUAACGGCUCACCAAGGCAAUGAUACGUAGCCGAACUGAGAGGUUGAUCGGCCACAUUGGGACUGAGACACGGCCCAAACUCCUACGGGAGGCAGCAGUAGGGAAUCUUCCACAAUGGACGCAAGUCUGAUGGAGCAACGCCGCGUGAGUGAAGAAGGCUUUCGGGUCGUAAAACUCUGUUGUUGGAGAAGAAUGGUCGGCAGAGUAACUGUUGUCGGCGUGACGGUAUCCAACCAGAAAGCCACGGCUAACUACGUGCCAGCAGCCGCGGUAAUACGUAGGUGGCAAGCGUUAUCCGGAUUUAUUGGGCGUAAAGCGAGCGCAGGCGGUUUUUUAAGUCUGAUGUGAAAGCCCUCGGCUUAACCGAGGAAGUGCAUCGGAAACUGGGAAACUUGAGUGCAGAAGAGGACAGUGGAACUCCAUGUGUAGCGGUGAAAUGCGUAGAUAUAUGGAAGAACACCAGUGGCGAAGGCGGCUGUCUGGUCUGUAACUGACGCUGAGGCUCGAAAGCAUGGGUAGCGAACAGG